rnacentral:rRNA from 1 species
GACGAACGCUGGCGGCGUGCUUAACACAUGCAAGUCGAACGAAAAGAGGGAAAGAGCUUGCUCUUUCCGGAAUUGAGUGGCAAACGGGUGAGUAACACGUAAACAACCUGCCUUCAGGAUGGGGACAACAGACGGAAACGACUGCUAAUACCGAAUAAGUUCCAAGAGCCGCAUGGCCCAUGGAAGAAAAGGUGGCCUCUACCUGUAAGCUAUCGCCUGAAGAGGGGUUUGCGUCUGAUUAGCUGGUUGGAGGGGUAACGGCCCACCAAGGCGACGAUCAGUAGCCGGUCUGAGAGGAUGAACGGCCACACUGGAACUGAGACACGGUCCAGACUCCUACGGGAGGCAGCAGUGGGGAAUCUUCCGCAAUGGGCGAAAGCCUGACGGAGCAACGCCGCGUGAGUGAUGACGGCCUUCGGGUUGUAAAACUCUGUGAUCCGGGACGAAAAGGCAGAGUGCGAAGAACAAACUGCAUUGACGGUACCGAAAAGC